rnacentral:lncRNA from 1 species
GACUUUUAGAUACUACAGAGCCAAUGAUAAGACUAGCUAUAACUGAACCUCCAUUUCUCCCAGAAUUUGGUGAGACACCAAACAAUAUCUCACAGCCUCUGAUGUUAUUAUUACAUGUGACCAUAGAACAUGAUAAUAUUACUCAUAUUUUAUAAACUAAUAAAUAUCCAUUGCAAACAUCCAAAAGUCUAUUUUAAGUUUAAAAUAUC